rnacentral:tRNA from 1 species
GGAGAGGUGCCGGAGCUGGCCGAACGGGCUUGACUCGAAAUCAAGUGAACUCUCACGAGUUCCGAGGGUUCGAAUCCCUCCCUCUCCGCCA